rnacentral:lncRNA from 1 species
CCCGGAGCAAGGCAAAUUAGGUUUCCAAAUAGGACUGACUUGGUGGGGGUCACAGUAAGGAGGCCAGCUACAGGGUUGAGGGGACUUACCUGCCUAGCUCCCCUACUGGAGCAAGCAGAAAUAACUUUGAGGAGGCUGUAGUAGGAAAAGCCUGAAUCUGGGAAAGAAGCAGCAGAGAAAAGACUUUUUAAAGUGGCCGUUGUGAAGGAACGUGGAAGCUGAGGAAGAGCAAGAAUGAAGAGAGCUCCCCAUCCACCGGGAAACCCAGAGAAUUUCAGAGAUCUGAAACUGAGUAAUCUCUCACACAAGGGCAAUUGGGGCUGAGCCUGGGCCUGACCCUGAAUCCCAAGGGCAGGCUUUGGGAAUCUGAGGGGCAGCAGCUAACUGCCGGUGAGGAGGUGCUGUGUUCAUCCCUCAGUCAGGGGCAGAAGCUUUAUGUAACGAAGGGUUCUCUGAGCCAGCUCUGCAGCUGGUUAAGGCUCAGGCUUAAGGAUCUACAGGUAGAGGGUUGCCUUUUUUUCCUUCCAAAGGUAUGUGAUUGGGUAAAAGAGACAAUGCUACAUUUUCCUCAAAGAAAUAUCUGGCCUACAGAUCAAGAUGGACCUUCCAUCCUGGAAUGGAACUGCUACAGGGAACGACUGGGCAUGCCUCACCUCCUGGAGCCAUGCUGGUGGCCUGCAUGUAUCAUGGGAAUUUCUCAGAAUGGCCUAGCCUUGGCAACGGGUUGAGACAGGGGAGUUUGAAGCUUGUUUUAGGAUUCUCCCUUCGCCAAAAACCUUUCUAGCCACCCACCCUGUGCUGCAUUCUUCUGGGACUUCUCUAUCAGUAUUUUGCCUUCCCAACUAAGGUUGGUUGGGAGUCAAUGAAAAAAUAUUUAUUGAGCCUACUAUUUGUCCAGCAAGCAUAAAUAGUCCAUUCAUGUUACUCCUUAUGCCUCGGCUGCCAGAAAAACAAAGGUCAAAUUUAUUGCUAAAAUAGAAGCAGAACAUUCUCCAUGUCUGAAACCAUCAUUCCUUCUGGUUCUUUCAGAUGGAUUCCAUUUAAACUGAUCCCAGACUGUAUCCUUCUUUAGAGGCACCUUGAAUGAUAUCAAAAGUAAGUUGGGUACAAGAUGAAAUCAAUUACUCAUUACAUUUCCUGCUCUGGACAAUGGCAGGCAAGUGAUCGGGAACCAAAAAGAACAUGAGGCAUGCAUCAUCUCUAACACACUGGCCCCGGCUCUGUCCAUUACCAGGAAGAGGACAUUGGCUACAGCUCAUCCCUUUACAGAAGGAGGCUGGAGGCAUAAAGAAGAUAAGCGUCUGUCCAAGGUCACCGAGCAAGUUAGGGGCACACGGGAAGAGGAUUAGACCCCCUGAUUUGUAAUCUUGUUCUCCUUCCACUGCACUUCACUUUUUGAAACCGAUUGUCAAUGCGCUAUAGCAGGCUUAAGUCCAAAUUAACGGAAUCUUCAAUGGAUAGAAUUCUUCAGGAUCCCCUUGAAGCGUGACAGCUGCAAUGACUUCCAGAU